GGGCUCUAAGUAUAUGUAUUGAUACGUACUAACUGUUAAUUAGUAAUAAGGCCAAGAUAAGCUGGCCAGGGCUCG
rnacentral:tRNA from 1 species